rnacentral:rRNA from 1 species
AACGAACGCUGGCGGCGUGGAUAAGACAUGCAAGUUGAACGCUAGUAUCCGGUGUAGCAAUACAUCGGGUGUGGAGUAGCGCAAGGGUGCGUAACACGUGGGUAAUUUGCCAUAAAGUUGGGGAUAACUCGCUGAAAGGCGAGCUAAUACCGAAUGUGGUUUUUGGAAGGACAUCUUCCGACAACUAAAGCUGGGGAUCGUAAGACCUGGCGCUUUUUGAUAAGCCCGGCGGCCAUCAGCUAGUUGGUGAGGUAACGGCUCACCAAGGCUAAGACGGGUAGCUGGUCUGAGAGGACGACCAGCCACACUGGAACUGAGACACGGUCCAGACACCUACGGGUGGCAGCAGUCGGGAAUUUUGGGCAAUGGGCGAAAGCCUGACCCAGC